AAGGAAUGGUUGAGCAAAUUUGAUGAAACUCUGUUGCAAUUUUAGAGUAUCCAGAAUUAAGGGAAACUUUCACAUAUUUGGCAACAACUCCACCAUUUAUGGAUUGAUAUGUUGACAUUUAAUGUUAUAAAUUUCUUAGUUUUUCAUUACCAAAGUUAUUGUUCUUAACCUUCAAAAUUAACUUAAAUUUUUACUUGUUGCAC
rnacentral:lncRNA from 1 species